GGGAUACAUCAGUGAAGAAACAGACAAAAACCUCUGCCCUCAUGGAGCCCCCAUUCUAGUAGACAGACAAUAAACAUACAAAUAAAUCAAUUACAUAGAGUGCUAGAAAGUGGUAAGUCCUAGGGAAUAAACAGGGCAGAUAAGGAGAAUUGGGAGUGUUGGGGUUCAGGGCUGGAUAUAUUUAUUAACACGAAAUGAUGUCUGCCAUAUACUGUUGAAUGCACUUCCUAAACUGUGAUUUCAUAUGACUUCCUGGUAUUCCAGGGGAAACUCAUCCAGUAAAGUUCAGCCCUUUAUGAAGAAUUCCCCUGUGGUCACAUUCCAAUUCCUGGACCUGCUGCCACCCUCAGAGCUGCAUGCUCCUUCUUCAGACUUUCUAAGAAUGACUCAGGUCAUUGGUGGAGUGAAGCCAAGAUUUCCAACUCAGUCACCUGAAGAGAUGGAGAUACCAUUCAUGGAGCUGGAGAUCCCUGAAGAUAUGGGAAUUCAGAAAACAAGCUAAGAUAAGGAUGUCAGCCCCCCAACCCCCAGACAUGUCUCAUGACCACUGAGUCAUGCAUCAAUGAUGGGUGUGGGUGUGUGGAUGGAUGUAGCCAAGCCCAUUGACCGAGGACUGAGACAUACUCCCCACUAAUCAACAAGUUAACAAGCUCUCUGAUGAGGAGGCAGUGAUUAAUGAACCAAUCGGCUUGCCCUGGUGAGCACCUGUCUUUUGUCUUUCCAUGGAGGAGUGGAAUUCUUUGAUUUCUGCUGUCACCCCUCCAAACAGGACAACAGCUGUCUCUCUGUUUGUCUCUCUGUAUCUGUGUUCUGAGAACGCCUCAGACUGAGGAUCCCCCAUGAUACAGCCAUGUCCUUUCUUUGAGACUGGAGUUCUUGAAGGACAGGGCCGUGCCUUGCCCCCUGGAUGAGGGGUCCCUAAGAAGAAUGAUUUUUCUCCUUCCUUCAAAGCUGGACUGUACUGCUGCCAUCUCGGCUCACUGCAACCUCCCUGCCUGAUUCUCCUGCCUCAGCCUGCCGAGUGCCUGCGAUUGCAGGCACGCGCCGCCACGCCUGACUGGUUUUGGUGGAGACGGGGUUUCGCUGUGUUGGCCGGGCCGGUCUCCAGCCCCUAACCGCGAGUGAUCCGCCAACCUCGGCCUCCCGAGGUGCCGGGAUUGCAGACGGAGUCUCGUUCACUCAGUGCUCAAUGGUGCCCAGGCUGGAGUGCAGUGGCGUGAUCUCGGCUCACUACAACCUACACCUCCCAGCCGCCUGCCUUGGCCUCCCAAAGUGCCGAGAUUGCAGCCUCUGCCCGGCCGCCACCCCGUCUGGGAAGUGAGGAGUGUCUCUGCCUGGCCGCCCAUCGUCUGGGAUGUGAGGAGCCCCUCUGCCUGGCUGCCCAGUCUGGAAAGUGAGGAGCAUCUCCGCCCGGCCGCCAUCCCAUCUAGGAAGUGAGGAGCGCCUCUUCCCAGCCGCCGUCACAUCUAGGAAGUGAGGAGCGUCUCUGCCCCGCCGCCCAUUGUCUGAGAUGUGGGGAGCGCCUCUGCCCCGCCGCCCCAUCUGGGAUGUGA
ensembl:lncRNA novel transcript